GGGCGCGUAGCUCAGUUGGUUAGAGUGCCUGCUUCACACGCAGGAGGUCCCCAGUUCGAGUCUGGGCGCGCCCACCA
rnacentral:tRNA from 1 species